GCGCUCGCCGCCGCCUGCUCCUAUGGGGUCUUUGCAAGGGGCUGACCCGCAGGCUGCUCAUCUUCUUCGACCUGGCCUGGCGGCUGCGCGUCAACUUCCCCUACGUCUGCAUCGUGGCUUCCAUGAUGCUCAACGUCCGUCUGCAGGUUCAUACUGAG
rnacentral:lncRNA from 1 species